rnacentral:rRNA from 1 species
AUUGAACGCUGGCGGCAGGCCUAACACAUGCAAGUCGAGCGAGCGGCGGACGGGUGAUUCAUAUCUGUGUGCCUGCCUGUUGGAGGGGGAUACCUACAGGAAACGGUAAUUCCUACUGCAUCCCAUUAAACCUGCCCCGGUGGGAUUAGCUAGUAGGGUGGGUAACGGCCCACCAAGGCGACGAUCCCUAGCUGGUCUGAGAGGAUGACCAGCCACACGGGAACUGAGACACGGUCCAGACUCCUACGGGAGGCAGCAGUGGGUAAUAUUGGACAAUGGGCGCAAGCCUGAUGCAGCCAUGCCGCGUGUGUGAAGAAGGCCUUCGGGUUGUAAAGCACUUUCAGCGGGGAGGCGUUACCCGCAGAAGAAGCACCGGCUAACUCCGUGCCAGCAGCCGCGGUAAUAC